AUUGAACGCUGGCGGCAGGCCUAACACAUGCAAGUCGAACGGUAACAGGAAGAAGCUUGCUUCUUUGCUGACGAGUGGCGGACGGGUGAGUAAUGUCUGGGAAACUGCCUGAUGGAGGGGGAUAACUACUGGAAACGGUAGCUAAUACCGCAUAACGUCGCAAGACCAAAGAGGGGGACCUUCGGGCCUCUUGCCAUCGGAUGUGCCCAGAUGGGAUUAGCUAGUAGGUGGGGUAACGGCUCACCUAGGCGACGAUCCCUAGCUGGUCUGAGAGGAUGACCAGCCACACUGGAACUGAGACACGGUCCAGACUCCUACGGGAGGCAGCAGUGGGGAAUAUUGCACAAUGGGCGCAAGCCUGAUGCAGCCAUGCCGCGUGUAUGAAGAAGGCCUUCGGGUUGUAAAGUACUUUCAGCGGGGAGGAAGGGAGUAAAGUUAA
rnacentral:rRNA from 1 species